rnacentral:rRNA from 1 species
GACGAACCGAGCGAACGUUGUUCGGAAUCACUGGGCUUAAAGGGCGCGUAGGCGGGUGCUCAAGUCCGGGGUGAAAUCCUUCGGCUCAACCGGAGAACUGCCUCGGAUACUGGGUGCCUCGAGGGUGGUAGGGGUAUGCGGAACUAUCGGUGGAGCGGUGAAAUGCGUUGAUAUCGAUAGGAACUCCGGUGGCGAAGGCGGCAUACUGGACCACCUCUGACGCUGAGGCGCGAAAGCCAGGGGAGCAAACGGG